GAAAAUCUAACUGGCCAUGAAUGGAGAUUAUCAUUUUCACAAGCAGAAAAUGCAUUAAUAAGAUCAUUUAACCACACCCAGUUAAUGACAUAUGGUGCGUUGAAAAUUCUAUUUCAAGAGAUUUUUAAUGAAACGAGAUGCGGUUAUGAAUGUGCAUUUGCGUCAUAUAUACUGAAAACAGCAGUAUUUUGGGUAUCUGAAGAUCAUGAACUAAUUGUAUGGCAGCCAUCAAAUAUAAUACUAUGUAUUACGUUAUGUAUUGAAUAUCUAAGGAAAUGUGUAAAAACUAUGAAUUGUCCUAAUUUUUUCGUUCUUACAAGCAAUAUGUACCUAGACAAAUAUCCAAAAGAAUCAAUUGCAGAACUUUUAGAAAUUUUAAAUGCAGUCAGUUCAAACAUUUUGCGAUUGAUCUGGCAGGC
rnacentral:lncRNA from 1 species